UGUUACAUCGCAUAAUUUUGCUUUUUGUGAGUCUGGUAUUUUUGGAACAAGUAUCCUUUGCAGAUUUUACUUCUUCACAAAUAGCGAAAUGCACAGAAACCACACGUGAGACAGAAGACUUUGAACAGCUGAAGAAACUCAGGAACAGAUUCACUUAUAUUGCAAGAAGCUGUAAAGAGAUCAAGGACCGAUAUGGUGAAUAUGAAGAUGGGGUGUACUACCUCACCACAGCUAAUGGCAUGCUGUACCAGGGAACUGGUCCAACAGAAACACCUUUGGAACAGUAGAGAGCGCCACUGC